GUUUGAUCAUGGCUCAGGAUGAACGCUAGCGGCAGGCCUAAUACAUCGCUAGUCGAACGGUGUCUUCGGACAUAGUGGCGCACGGGUGCGUAACACGUAUGCAACCUACCUUACAUUGGGGGAUAGCCUUUCGAAAGGGAGAUUAAUACCGCAUAAGACAGUAGCUGGGCAUCCAGCAGCUGUUAAAGAUUUAUCGAUGUAAGAUGGGCAUGCGACCAAUUAGUUAGUUGGCGAGGUAACGGCUCACCAAGACUAUGAUUGGUAGGGGAACUGAGAGGUCAAUCCCCCACACUGGCACUGAGAUACGGGCCAGACUCCUACGGGAGGCAGCAGUAGGGAAUAUUGGGCAAUGGACGCAAGUCUGACCCAGCCAUGCCGCGUGCAGGAUGAAGGCGUUAUGCGUCGUAAACUGCUUUUAUACAGGAAGAAACGACUCUUGCGAGAGGCAUUGACGGUACUGUAUGAAUAAGCACCGGCUAACUCCGUGCCAGCAGCCGCGGUAAUACGGAGGGUGCAAGCGUUGUCCGGAUUUAUUGGGUUUAAAGGGUGCGCAGGUGGUUUAUUAAGUCAGUGGUGAAAGACGGUCGCUCAACGAUUGCAGUGCCAUUGAAACU
rnacentral:rRNA from 1 species